GAUGAAGAACGUAGCGAAAUGCGAUAAGUAGUGUGAAUUGCAGAAUUCAGUGAAUCAUCGAAUCUUUGAACGCACAUUGCGCCCUUUGGUAUUCCAAAGGGCAUGCCUGUUCGAGCGUCAUUUGUACCCUCAAGCUCUGCUUGGUGUUGGGCGUCUUGUCUCCAGUUUCGCUGGAGACUCGCCUUAAAGUCAUUGGCAGCCGGCCUACUGGUUUCGGAGCGCAGCACAAGUCGCGCUCUCGUCCAGCCAAGGUCAGCAAUCCACAAAGCCUUUUUUCAACUUUUGACCUCGGAUCAGGUAGGGAUACCCGCUGAACUUAAGCAUAUCAAUAAGCCGGAGGA
rnacentral:misc_RNA from 1 species